rnacentral:lncRNA from 1 species
GCGGCUGUGGCCCACGAUUCAGGCUGGAGUGCAGUGGUACAAAAACAGCUCACUGCAGCCUUGACCUCCUGGCCUCAAGAGAUCCGCCCACGUCAGCUUCCUGAGUAGCUGGGACCACAGGCAUGUGGUCUUGAUCUCCUGGGCUCAAGCAAUUCCUCUGCCUCAGCCUCCAGAAAUGUUUGGAUUACAGAUGUGAACCACUGCACCUAGUCUUAAGGUAUUUUUAACUAAGAGACAUGGUCUUGCUGUAUUGCCCUCAAACUCCUGGCCUCAAGUGAUCCUCCUGCCUCGGCUUCCCAAAUUACAGGCUGGACUUCAUGUGGUAUAGCAUUUCUUAAAAGUCUCAAAGAAGUCAACUCUGUAAUAUAAAGUCCUCAUAUGAAUUGAUUCUAAGUUGUAGUCAGCC